CUUAGUUAUCGGCUCCUCUUGACUGCCGAAACUCCGCAGCUUGAUGCCGAGUCCUACUCUCCCUCUUGCUGCUCCUUCUCAAAUUUUGGGGGUGGUUUAAGGGUGAAGGAACUUGUGUGGCUUCCUUGCCUUCUUGGUGAAAGUCUUGGAAGGUGUUAUGCUUGGUGAUCAAGUCCCUUAAUUAACCAUGUGGUGGGAAAGGAUUUUUCACUCUUUAGGUCAAGGGGAUGACUCACCAUUCUUUAUCCAAUUGUCAUUACAUCCACUUUUGGAAUAUUUGAGAUAUCUUAUUCCUUGUCUCCUUGCAAACACUCUUGCAAGAUCUUUAAUUGGCUCCUUACCACUUUCUUGAAUAACACUUAUCCCUUGGUUUUUGUUGAAGAAGAAAUCUAACUAUUUUUGGGAAUUUCCUUGGCAGGUUGAGGGACAACUCAUGCUAUCUCUAGGAGGCUACUAAUUGACCUCUUGGCAUGGAGUGGGAAUCAAGAAUCGAGAUGUGUGUAGAGAGGAUCCUCAAUGAAGAUUUAGCAAAUCCCUACUUUUGUUUCUUUACUUCAUUUAGCUUUCUUAGGAAAAUUUCUUUCGUAAAGUAGCUAUAUCUUCUCUACUUGUUCCAACACCAAUAUCCAUGUAAUCUUUUUCAUGAAAGGUAGUUCUCCUAUAUUGUAAGGUAUACCUCCAACCUUUCUUCUUUUGAAUAAAUUCCAAUAACACUUGCACGCCUA